rnacentral:rRNA from 1 species
UACGUAGGUGGCGAGCGUUGUCUGGAUUUAUUGGGCGUAAAGGGCGUGUAGGCGGCCUGUUAAGUCGGGGGUGAAACCCCCGGGGCUCAACCCCGGGCGUGCCUCUGAUACUGAUGGGCUUGAGUGCUCUAGAGGGCAGUGGAAUUGCCGGUGUAGCAGUGGAAUGCGUAGAGAUCGGCAGGAACACCAGUGGCGAAGGCGGCUGCCUGGGGAGUAACUGACGCUGAGGCGCGAAAGCUAGGGGAGCAAACAGG